AGCAAACAACACAUGAGAUUCAAAAACUUGGGAGAGACCAAACAAACCUCCGCUGCGUUGCCCAUCAGCUCUUUCUCCGUUCUCCACACCACCUCCCAAAUCCCCGCCCGCGGCACGAAUUUCUCCUCUCAAAAUUCUCCCCAUCUCCGUCCUGGAUUCAGCUUCCUCGAUUUGGUCCCCUCUCUCGGCUCCAAUCAUUUCCCUCCUUUCCCUGCUUCUGUUGGCUUCUUUGUUGAGUUGGGAGUCGCCCAAGAACUCGACUUCUUGGCUCCCUUGAUCCAAACUCCCUCAAUUCCGCCAAGUGGCGCGGAAAGUUUCGUUUUGAGGCCUUCCGGAGUGGUUUUGGCGCCUCAAUCGGAUACUCCGCCUGGGGAAUUUCUGUUCCCUGACCUAAACGGCUGGGAAUUUUCUUGUUUCUUGACUUGAUGGAGCCGGAGAAGCAGCCUCCGGCGCAGGCGCCCGCCCCUGCGUCUGAGCUCAAGGCAGCGCCCGCUCCUGCACCUGAGCUCAAGCCGCCGGCGCCGGCGCAUCCGCCACAGACGAGGCCGGCGGUCCCGACGCAGCCCAUGGUGCCCACGCCGAGGCCGUGGCCAGUGGCCUUCACGCCUACUAUAAAGCCAAUGGUCGAAGUGAAGAGUGUUACUCAACCAAGGAGAAAGAAGCAGUGUAAUUGCAGAAACUCACAUUGUCUUAAGCUGUACUGUGAGUGUUUUGCAGCAGGCCUUUAUUGUGAUGGCUGCAAUUGUAAACAGUGUGGAAACACAGUCGAGAAUGAAAACGCUAGGCAGGAGGCUAUUAACAGUACUAAGCAACGGAACCCGAAGGCAUUUCAACCUAAGAUCGAAAAUGUUACAACUACUCCUAGUGUUCGAAAGGAUGCUGGAGCACCUUCACUUCCAAAACACAAUAAAGGUUGUCACUGCAAAAAGUCAGGGUGUCUCAAGAAGUACUGUGAAUGCUAUCAAGCAAAUAUCCUUUGUUCCAAGAAUUGUAAAUGUAUGGAUUGCAAGAACUUUGAAGGAAGUGAAGAGCUAAAGGCUAUAAUUGAAGGGGAAAAUGCAGCUGACCGAAACAAUAUUCAACAAGCAGCUAACGGGACUCUGAAUGGUGCCCCUGGAUCCUCUGGGUGCAAGUAUUCACCAGUACGUAGAAAAAGGCACCCAGAUGAUCCCUUUGGUCCAGAGGCGGCUAACCACAUGGAUGUUUCACAAGUUUCUUCUUCUACUGGACUUGAAGGCGGUAUUUGUCAUCCGAGUAAAUCUAAGAUGGUCUAUAAGUCUCCGCUAGCAAACACUGUCCAUCCUACAGAUGUGAAUGAUCUUGCCAAUCGUUUGGUGAUUUUAUGCAGAAAGGCAACGGAAGCAUUCCUCACAAUUGCUGAUAACAAAGUCCAGAUGGAAGUAGAGAAUGGAAUUUACACAAAUGCUGACCUAAAGACUGAUAAGUUCAAGAGUCAGGAAGUUCAGAAAGCUGUUGUUCGUCAACCUGAUGUCACGACCUGUAUAGAGCAGCGGAAUGGUGGUGACUUUGAAUCACCCUGCGCUAACACCCAAGAGGAUUCUAGACCUGCCUCUCCAGGAACACAGGCGCUUAUGUGUUAUGAGCAGGGCACCGCAUUUGGAACAGAUUAUAUAAAUUCUUUUCCAGUGGCAUUGCAUGAUCAGGACACUACAGAAUUAGAUACUCUUCAAGAAAAGACAGUGUUGACAGAGACUCGAGACUACCUUCGGCUACUCAUCACACGUGGAAACAUAAACGGUACAGUGAGAAGAAUUUGCUAAAUAUUUCUACCCUUCAAUAUCACUGACGACUUGACAUUGAUUUGACAUAUCCAACUUGUUACAUUUUGUUAGUAACUCCACUGGGAUUAGAGAAGCUAACACAUCGUCCGAGUCGGCUAUGGAGCUGGACGCGUGAAGAAAUAACAGAGUAACCACCAGUUUAGAUCCACCAAAAGCUCUUGGCCACUCCGAAAUUCCGAGAACAUGCGGACCCUCCGCAUCACAUAGCUGAUCAGAAGACUAGGCAUGACUUGUUAAAGUAGAUUUACACACGGAAUCUGUAAUAACAAAAGCCCAUUUAUGUGUAUAUAUAUAUGAAUAGUAUAGUCUCUGUUGCCAUUUUCUGGCAACCGGCCAUGUAGCAUCAGUCAUUCAUGAGGUGUAAAGUAGGCAACAGUGCCCCUUCUGAUUAUGUAAAUAAUUUGAUCAAUAAUGAUUUUUAUUUACAUCCUUUUUA